rnacentral:tRNA from 1 species
GGGGUUGUGGCUCAGUGGUAGAGUGCUUGCCUAACAUGUAUGAGGCACUGGGUUCAAUCUCCAGCACCACA